rnacentral:lncRNA from 1 species
AUAUUCUCCCCAGCAACUAUUGUUUAAAUAACAGAUGUAAAUACAGGCCAGUAUUAAGCGCCUUCGUUCUCUAUGUGCAGAAGAACUCAUAAUUUUCUCUUUUAAUUAAAUGUAGAAUAUUUGCCCAGUGUUUGCACAUGAAACAUUAACGACAAGUGUGUGACAUAACUGCAUACUUAUUUAUUUUUAAUAAAUGCAGUCCAUGGAGUUGGAGCUUGUGUUGACAUCACAUAUUUUUCCUCUCCUUCACUGAGUUUUAUUAAUGUUUUUCCAACCUGUUUCUUAUUUCAUUCCAGAGGAGGCCACCCCUUUUCUCCCAAGACUGGCCAGGAUUACAAUUAAAUGAGUAGCUGACAUGUGACAGAGCUCCAUCAUGAGAAGAAGAUCUGCCCGGAGAAUGAGUCUACAUCAAAUUGGUAUGAUCAAGGAAGAUAUCGCUUGCAGCAGUCUCUCACAAGUUUCAAAAUGACUCGCAAGGGUUUAAAAGCUGUAUGUGCAUUGGUAAUGAAGAAGAAAACAGCAGGAAGAGUAGAAAUCAGCACUACCAAGCUUUCCCUUAUAGCUCAUAAUGUCAAAUUUCCAAACAAAAAGAGUAUUCAGUCUCCGAAAUCAUGCUAAAGUCUGUGAGCAACUAAAAAAGGCAUCAGGACUCUUUGAAA